ACGCUGGCGGCGUGCCUAAUACAUGCAAGUAGAACGCUGAAGAGAGGAGCUUGCUCUUCUUGGAUGAGUUGCGAACGGGUGAGUAACGCGUAGGUAACCUGCCUUGUAGCGGGGGAUAACUAUUGGAAACGAUAGCUAAUACCGCAUAACAAUGGAUGACACAUGUCAUUUAUUUGAAAGGGGCAAUUGCUCCACUACAAGAUGGACCUGCGUUGUAUUAGCUAGUAGGUGAGGUAAUGGCUCACCUAGGCGACGAUACAUAGCCGACCUGAGAGGGUGAUCGGCCACACUGGGACUGAGACACGGCCCAGACUCCUACGGGAGGCAGCAGUAGGGAAUCUUCGGCAAUGGGGGCAACCCUGACCGAGCAACGCCGCGUGAGUGAAGAAGGUUUUCGGAUCGUAAAGCUCUGUUGUAAGUCAAGAACGGGUGUGAGAGUGGAAAGUUCACACUGUGACGGUAGCUUACCAGAAAGGGACGGCUAACUACGUGCCAGCAGCCGCGGUAAUACGUAGGUCCCGAGCGUUGUCCGGAUUUAUUGGGCGUAAAGCGAGCGCAGGCGGUUUGAUAAGUCUGAAGUUAAAGGCUGUGGCUCAACCAUAGUUCGCUUUGGAAACUGUCAAACUUGAGUGCAGAAGGGGAGAGUGGAAUUCCAUGUGUAGCGGUGAAAUGCGUAGAUAUAUGGAGGAACACCGGUGGCGAAAGCGGCUCUGUGGUCUGUAACUGACGCUGAGGCUCGAAAGCGUGGGGAGCGAACAGGAUUAGAUACCCUGGUAGUCCACGCCGUAAACGAUGAGUGCUAGGUGUUGGAUCCUUUCCGGGAUUCAGUGCCGCAGCUAACGCAUUAAGCACUCCGCCUGGGGAGUACGACCGCAAGGUUGAAACUCAAAGGAAUUGACGGGGGCCCGCACAAGCGGUGGAGCAUGUGGUUUAAUUCGAAGCAACGCGAAGAACCUUACCAGGUCUUGACAUCCCGAUGCUAUUUCUAGAGAUAGAAAGUUACUUCGGUACAUCGGUGACAGGUGGUGCAUGGUAGUCGUCAGCUCGUGUCGUGAGAUGUUGGGUUAAGUCCCGCAACGAGCGCAACCCCUAUUGUUAGUUGCCAUCAUUCAGUUGGGCACUCUAGCGAGACUGCCGGUAAUAAACCGGAGGAAGGUGGGGAUGACGUCAAAUCAUCAUGCCCCUUAUGACCUGGGCUACACACGUGCUACAAAGGUUGGUACGAACGAGUUGCGAGUCGGUGACGGCGAGCUAAUCUCUUAAAGCCAAUCUGAGUUCGGAUUGUAGGCUGCAACUCGCCUACAUGAAGUCGGAAUGGCUAGUAAUCGCGGAUCAGCACGCCGCGGUGAAUACGUUCCCGGGCCUUGUACACACCGCCCGUCACACCACGAGUUUGUAACACCCGAAGUCGGUGAGGUAACCUUUGGAGCCAGCCGCCUAAGGUGGGACAGAUGAUUGGGG
rnacentral:rRNA from 1 species